rnacentral:rRNA from 1 species
UACGAAGGGUACAAGCGUUGUUCGGAAUUACUGGGCGUAAAGCGCGCGUAGGCGGAUGAGUAAGUCGAUUGUGAAAGCCCUGGGCUUAACCUGGGAACUGCAGUCGAAACUGCUUAUCUUGAGUGCCUGAGAGGAUGGCGGAAUUCCCGGUGUAGUAGUGAAAUACGUAGAUAUCGGGAAGAACACCUGAGGCGAAGGCGGCUAUCUGGCGGUGCACUGACGCUGAGGCGCGAAAGCGUGGGGAGCAAACAGG